rnacentral:rRNA from 1 species
UACGGAGGAGGCAAGCGUUAUCCGGAAUUAUUGGGCGUACAGCGUCCGCAGGUGGCUAUUCAAGUCUGCGGUCAAAGACUGGGGCUUAACCCUGGAAAGGCCGUGGAAACUGAAGAGCUAGAGUGCAGUAGGGGUAGAGGGAAUUCCCGGUGUAGCGGUGAAAUGCGUAGAGCUCGGGAAGAACAUCGGUGGCGAAGGCGGCUCUCUGGGACGGUACUGACGCUGAGACGCGAAAGCGUGGGGAGCGAACAGG